CAGUAGCCACGGUAAUACGAAGGGGGCUAGCGUUGUUCGGAAUCACUGGGCGUAAAGGGUGCGUAGGCGGGAUCUUAAGUCAGGGGUGAGAUCCCGAGGCUCAACCUCGGAACUGCCUUUGAUACUGGGGUCCUUGAGUCCGGAAGAGGUGAGUGGAACUGCGAGUGUAGAGGUGAAAUUCGUAGAUAUUCGCAAGAACACCGGUGGCGAAGGCGGCUCACUGGUCCGGAACUGACGCUGAGGCACGACAGCGUGGGGAGCAAACAGGAUUAGAUACCCCCGUAGUCCCUGUCUCUUAUAA
rnacentral:rRNA from 1 species